rfam:Triticum aestivum genome assembly, contig: Triticum_aestivum_CS42_TGACv1_scaffold_226263_3B
GUCUUACACUUGAUCUCUGAACUUCAGGUAAGUUCGUGUCGACAUUAUAUCAGUCCUGAUGCA